UCAAAUCGUAGGUUUGAAUUCUUACCCAGCUAGGUUUCGAGAAAGAAGAUAGAUUAAGAUGUCAUUGAUAAUUGAGUGGAUCUGAUGGUGACGAUCAUCCAUUUCAUGUAGAAUCAAUGGAGCUAGUGUCACAUAAUAGUGAGCCGGUGUUUGGGGAAGGCGAUGAAUACGAAGACGGAGACUGUUCAGUUGCCGGAAACUGUGACAAACCUGACUCAAUGCAGUUGGAAAGAGAAUUCCUUCUGCCUAUGGUGGGAUUGGAGUUGGAGAUCAUCCAUCAACUAGAGUUGGAGAACACCACGGAGUUCACGGUUCACGGUUCUUUUGGUGUAAUUAAUUCUAGUAUGUUUGGUUAGAUUUCGUUUGUUACUCCGAAUAUGUUGUAGGGUGAAUUGUUGGAUACUUUGAUGCUUUCUAUGGUUUAAUUUAUAUGUGAUUCUUGCAUAUGAAUGGUUUAACUAUUCUACUAA